GACGAACGCUGGCGGCGUGCUUAACACAUGCAAGUCGAACGGAAAGGCCCUGCUUUUGUGGGGUGCUCGAGUGGCGAACGGGUGAGAAACACGUGAGUAACCUGCCCUUGACUUUGGGAUAACUUCAGGAAACUGGGGCUAAUACCGGAUAGGAGCUCCUGCUGCAUGGUGGGGGUUGGAAAGUUUCGGCGGUUGGGGAUGGACUCGCGGCUUAUCAGCUUGUUGGUGGGGUAGUGGCUUACCAAGGCUUUGACGCGUAGCCGGCCUGAGAGGGUGACCGGACAAGUUGGGACUGGAAUACGGCCCAGACUCCUACGGGAGGCAGCAGUGGGGAAUAUUGCACAAUGGGCGGAAGCCUGAUGCAGCAACGCCGCGUGCGGGAUGACGGCCUUCGGGUUGUAAACCGCUUUCGCCUGUGACGAAGCGUGAGUGACGGUAAUGGGUAAAGAAGCACCGGCUAACUACGUG
rnacentral:rRNA from 1 species